UUACGGAAGGCAGCAGUGGGGAAUCUUGCGCAAUGGCCGAAAGGCUGACGCAGCGACGCCGCGUGUGGGAGGACGCCCUUCGGGGUGUAAACCACUGUUGCCCGGGACGAACACCCUCUUUCGAGAGGGCUGACGGUACCGGGUGAGGAAGCACCGGCUAACUCCGUGCCAGCAGCCGCGGUAAUACGGAGGGUGCGAGCGUUGUCCGGAAUCACUGGGCGUAAAGGGCGCGUAGGCGGCAGGGAAAGUCGGCGGUGAAAGCCCGGAGCUCAACUCCGGGUCGGCCGUUGAUACUUCUUUGCUCGAGCACUGUAGAGGCAGAUGGAAUUCCGGGUGUAGCGGUGGAAUGCGUAGAGAUCCGGAAGAACACCGGUGGCGAAGGCGGUCUGCUGGGCAGUUGCUGACGCUGAUGCGCGACAGCGUGGGGAGCAAACAGGAUUAGAUACCCCGGU
rnacentral:rRNA from 1 species